rnacentral:rRNA from 1 species
AAUUUUGGACAAUGGGGGAAACCCUGAUCCAGCCAUCCCGCGUGUAUGAUGAAGGCCUUCGGGUUGUAAAGUACUUUUGGCAGAGAAGAAAAGGUACUUCCGCAUACGAGGUACUGCUGACGGUAUCUGCAGAAUAAGCACCGGCUAGCUACGUGCCCGCAGCCGCGGUAAUACGUAGGGUGCAAGCGUUAAUCGGAAUUACAGGGCGUAAAGCGUGUGUAGUCGGUUCGGAAAGAAAGAUGUGAAAUCCCAGGGCUCAACCUUGGAACUGCAUUUUUAACUGUCGAGCUAGAGUAUGUCAGAGGUGGGUAGAAUUCCACGUGUAGCAGUGAAAUGCGUAGAUAUGUGGAGGAAUACCGAUGGCGAAGGCAGCCCCCUGGGAUAAUACUGACGCUCAGACACGAAAGCGUGGGGAGCAAACA